rnacentral:rRNA from 1 species
UUCUAACGUUGACCCGUAAUCCGGGUUGCGGACAGUGUCUGGUGGGUAGUUUGACUGGGGCGGUCUCCUCCUAAAGAGUAACGGAGGAGCACGAAGGUUGGCUAAUCCUGGUCGGACAUCAGGAGGUUAGUGCAAUGGCAUAAGCCAGCUUGACUGCGAGCGUGACGGCGCGAGCAGGUGCGAAAGCAGGUCAUAGUGAUCCGGUGGUUCUGAAUGGAAGGGCCAUCGCUCAACGGAUAAAAGGUACUCCGGGGAUAACAGGCUGAUACCGCCCAAGAGUUCAUAUCGACGGCGGUGUUUGGCACCUCGAUGUCGGCUCAUCACAUCCUGGGGCUGAAGUAGGUCCCAAGGGUAUGGCUGUUCGCCAUUUAAAGUGGUACGCGAGCUGGGUUUAGAACGUCGUGAGACAGUUCGGUCCCUAUCUGCCGUGGGCGCUGGAGAACUGAGGGGGGCUGCUCCUAGUACGAGAGGACCGGAGUGGACGCAUCACUGGUGUUCGGGUUGUCAUGCCAAUGGCACUGCCCGGUAGCUAAAUGCGGAAGAGAUAAGUGCUGAAAGCAUCUAAGCACGAAACUUGCC